rnacentral:tRNA from 1 species
CAGUAAGUAGUUUAUUAAAAUUUAAAUUUUGGAGAUUUAAGAUACUAAAUUGUUAUUAGUCUUACUGA